GCUGGGUGUGGUGGUGCAUGCCUGUAAUCCUAACUACUCAGGAGGCUGAGGCAGGAGAAUCGCUUGAACCUGGGAGGUGGAGGUGGCAGUGAGCCGAGAUCAUGCCAUUGCACUCCAGCCUGGGUGACAGAGUGAGACUCUGUCUCAC
ensembl:misc_RNA Metazoa_SRP Metazoan signal recognition particle RNA